UACGAGUGCCCCCAAGCGUUAUCCGGAAUUAUUGGGCGUAAAGGUAGUGUAGGCGGUCUGAUUAGUCGGUCGUGAAAGCUCCUGGCUUAACUGGGAAAACGCGACCGAAACGGUCAGACUAGAGGAGGUGAGGGGUCUAUGGAACUCAUGGUGUAGGGGUGAAAUCCGUUGAUAUCAUGGGGAACACCAAAAGUGAAGGCAGUAGACUGGCACC
rnacentral:rRNA from 1 species